UAUUCCACACAGCUACUCACGACUUCAUGAUUAAUGUCAUAUUGAAAAGCCAGAGUGUUUGUUCUCGUCUGUAGCUGUUCCUAGUUGUAACAACUUGAUUAUUUAUGUUUGGAGCUCAUCUUCUCAAUGCAGGUUACAGAAAUGAGUCUUCAGGUUUGUCACUGCUGUGGCUGGUCCAAAGUGACGACCUAUCAGGGCCUGCGGGUCCACCAGGGCAAAAACGGAUGCACGCCGAAGGGUAUGAGGAUGGCAGAGCCCCAACAGCAGGACAUGUGGGGCUUUACAGGACAGACAACCGCUCACAAGAGCUACAAGCUGGACGUCCCGACCACUAUUAAAUCUGACGCGAGCCUACAGAUAUGCCACUGUGGCUGGACCCAAGUGACGAGCUAUCAUGGGCUGAGAGUCCACCAGGGGAUGAAGGGCUGCACACCAAAGGGAGCAAGGAUUCCAAAGGAAGAGCAGAAGGCCUGGGGGAAUUACUGGAAACCACAAGUGGAUGAGAAAAAACCUCCUGAAUUGAAGAAGCUGAAUAAAAAGCAUGAGUAUUUCCCAGAAAAACCAAGGAUGAGAAAGCUCAGCAACCGUGCAGCGGCAGCCACAGUCAAAACGGAGAACAACUGGAGGACGUGUCAUGAAACAAGGUCAAAGCCGUGGCAUCAGUCGGAGGAGUGCUCCACCCCUUUAAAGAGUUCUGAGGACUACUGGAACACUGGCAGCUGUUAUAACUAUGCAACAGCAGCCACUGCAGUCAAGGAAGAGCCCAAAUCACCUCCAGCGGUGUCUCUUCGAAGAUACCCAGAUGACUGCAAUGGAAGAUCCGUCCAUGAGUUUGAGGAUUCCUCGCCUUAUUUGCAGAUAAAUCGUCGGCUCAAAGAGAAUCCAGCUAUGGUAUUUGACAAACCAGCCGUCCCACCGAAGCAGCAAUGUAGAUCUGUCACCGACCCUCCAGCAACUCCCCCUGUUGACCCACACGAGGAGAAGGAGUCACUGUUGUCAACAUCAGCGCAGGAAACGCCAAAGUCUCAGCUGCUGAAAGAAAUUCACACAUGUUUAGAAAAAUUUAUAAUAAAGAGAGAGGGAAAGUUGAGAAACAUCAGUCCAUCAGAUUCUGCUUGUGAGAUAAACAAAUCAGUCAGCAAACAUCCAACAGCUGGACCUCCUGUCCAACCUAAGAGGAAAGGCUUAAUUUUAUUAAACAGAACGCCAGAGAAAGCUGAAAAAUCUUCAGCCACCGAUGGAGCAAUAUUUGAGUCCAAGAAGGACAGCAAGGAAGAGGAAGUGGCGCAGCAUGCGGGGACAUCAGCAAGAGUCAGAUCACCACCGGCAAACAAGUCACCUUUCACAACCCCUUCCCACCCCUUCAAAAAACCCACGGACAGAAAGGUAGCAGCAGCUGAGCAGUUGAGCAGCCGGGCAUCUGAGCGUCCUCUAGCGCCUCCUGUUGUGCCGCCGAAGAGGAACCCGCGUUCAUUCACAGUGAAGCAACUGAGCAGUCGAGACAUUCCUAAUGACCUGCAAGGAGCAAAUAAGACGAGGGAGGGAAUGAAGGUGAAGGAACUGGUGCAGAUGUUUUCUGUCCCUGCAGCCCAAGAGAAAACAGCCGUACCAACGGAGAAACUCAGACCGGAAAACCCACAGGGGAAGCUUCUCGCUCAAAGACGUACCACCAUCCCGGCCCGGGAAACCGGAGUCCAACCAAAGUUGGAAGACAGGAAGGAGCAGAUAAACAAAUCAGUCAGCAAACAUCCAACAGCUGGACCUCCUGUCCAACCUAAGAGGAAGGACUUAAUUUUAUUAAACAGAACGCCAGAGAAAGCUGAAAAGUCUUCAGCCACCGAUGGAGCAAUAUUUGAGUCCAAGAAGGACAGCAAGGAAGAGGAAGUGGCGCAGAAUGCUACAGAUAUGGCACCUGAGCCAACACCAACAGCAGCAAAACGGUCACAGAAGGAGGACCUAUCGAUGAUUGAAGCAGCCGAGCCUGACGUCUCUACGAGCAGGAAGGUGAAGGAACUGGCUCAGAUGUUUGCGGUUCAGGAAAGAGCCGCACGGCCCCAGCCGAAACGCGGACAAGAGCGCCGACCAUCACAGUUAAAAUUUAGGGCUGAAAGAUUUCUACAAACCAAACCCCAGGAAACCAUUGUUCAACUAAAGGAGGAGGAACAUGGCGGAGUAAAACCAGCACAGGUACAGCACUGAUUUCUCUUUCUUCUUCGUCGCCGCCUGCUGAGAAUCAAUGAACCACCAACCCAGUUCAUAGUCUCUUGCAUGUUGACAAACAUAAUACUGGUUCUGCAGGUUUUACAUCCAUGAGAUUUAUUUAAACUGUCUCUCAAAUGCAAAUGUCUAUUUGCACACUUCAGUUUAUCAGGGAAUGUGUGUUUAGACAUCCGUGCAAACUGCAGUCCUGUAACCUGAAGACCUAAAUUUAUUGCACAGUAGUUUACUAUGUGCAUGAGUGUAUCAAACGGCAGAGCGUUCGUGUGACACACGAGGGCAACUGCACAGUAAUCUAUGUCGUCAGUAUAGGAACCGCUAUCCGACUUUUAGACUCAAAAAUGUGUCUACUAGAGGCAAAUGACUAUUUCCACGCUUUAAGCUUCUCAGGGAGUCUUGUUGGUCAGUGAAAUCAACUGAUUUCAGAAGAUUGUCUUGUUGGAUCGGAAUAUUAUGCCUUUGUGUGCAUUCUGUAAGACAUCAUCAAAAAUUCAUUAUGGUAGCACAUAUUGGCAGUAAAGAUUCUCGAGUCUUGACUCUUGAAACAUAGCGGUAGCAGCAUAAUGAUGUGGAUAUGGUUCACUUUAGCAGGGACUGGGAAGCUGAUCAGGGUUGAUGGAUGGAGCUAAAUAGCGGGCAAUGCUGCAGGGAAACUUCUAAGGCCUAAGCCUCAAAACCUCUGCCUGGAUAAUUUGGCUUAUUUUGACUGGAUAAAGGCCAUUAAAUGGCAUAUGGACCUAUGAGUAAAUAAUUUUGCCCAUUUCUCUAUAACAACUGGAAGUUUCAAGAUCUACCGGGUUUUUUUUUACAAUUAAAAUUCUAUUUAUAGAGAGUUUUAUCAGGUUAAAAUGAAGAAAAACAAAGAUUGCAAAUAGUUUUUAGAAGUUUAGUGGUAAAGAAAAUACUAUAGAUGUACACAACGAAAUGCUUUUGCCUUCUGAAUUAGAUAUUUAGACGGUAUUGAAAAUAUUUACAACAGUUACAGUCCAUCAACCUCUCAGUUUUGGUGGUACGGCCAGUAGCAGUUUCUGUCCAGCUCCAGACAGAGGCCCACGUCACACCCUCUACACUUCCAGGCAGUGUUCUACUUUCUGUUUCAGUUCUCCAUCUUGCAUGAUGUGGUGAGUGGCUUUCGUCUCUCUCAGCAUCAUCACCAGCAUCUCCAGUAGCCUGUGGGCUCUCCACUUAUGGAUGGCUGAGCCUAACUAAAAGACAAAAGGAAGGAUAUUCAGCUCGAAAUAUGCAAUCUUACUGACUUGAAGUUACCAGACCCAACAAGUACUCCUACCACAAUGAAAACUGCUUCAUCAAAGGCCACCAAGCAUCAGGACCACAAACCCU